UCUCAGCUCAUUAACACCGCCAGAUAAUUAACGUGCCUCCAUUGCACUGCUCAGCUCUCAAAGCUGCCCACAGCCUGCAGCAGUCCUUCAGAGAUUCUUCACAACUGUUCCCUAAACCUUUUAUUCUGCUGGUUCAAGGGGGCUGCAUCCUGAAUUUUGGCUUCAGUGGGGUACACUGAGGAGAAAAGAGGGGAAAAUAAGGAUUUUGAGACGGCUUCACCUCAGUUUCUUUCUCUGGUGGACCAGCAUUUGGUGGGAUUGUUGGUGUGCUGCUCAAUAGGAUCUUUUCCAGCUUGGCAUUAUUGAGGUCCUUUCUUAAAAGGAUCAUUUGCACCUCAGAACUUAGGGAAGGGAAACAAUUUCGGUGAAAAUCCUUCACACACUCCACUCUUAAACAUUUCAGGAGUUAUUUAGGAAAUCCGGUCUGUCCUCAAAUCUCCUUUUAAUUAGUUUAAAAGGUUUUUUUGGGUAACUAAAAAUAGACCAAAUGUUUGGUUUUAAUAAUUCACACAUGGACAGCAGGGUUUUUUCCCACUUGGGCAUAAAUUCUCCUGGCUCCAGGGCUCAGAAUUUGGGAAUUUGAUUAAUUGGCUUAUUUGAAUUGUGUAAUUUGUAGAAUUUCUGAUUUUGGUUCCACAAUAAACUCAUUAAAAAAUUAGAUUCUCAUCCCCUAAAUGUCCCUUCUGAGGGGGAUUUUGCUGGGUGGGCCCAGAGCUUUAAAAGCUGGAUAAAAGGUGCCUGAUAUUCCCCAUGUGAGCAGCACAGGAUCCAUUUUGUCUCUGCCUAUUUCCCUGGAAAAGCCUGCAGCAUCCUCACCCAUUUUGUGUUCCCACAUGCUGCAGCACAAUGAGAUAUUCCCUCCUAAAAGGGAGCAGAAAAUUCCAGCCGGGAAUGGCUGCAAAAAUACUCAUUUUGUGUGGAAAAGCACAUCUUCUACCUGCAAUUAAAGGAAUUAAGUUGUAAUUUCCAAUGCAUGACAGCUCCCAGCACUUCAAGAGCUCUGCUGUGAAAUUAUUCCCGAUUUAGAGCUGCAGAUACUCCAGAGCAAUGAUGCUGUUUGUUGUUAGAAGUGGGUAACUGGCACUGAAUUUCGAUGGCAGACAUCACAGGGGAUGGGCUGUGAGGGAGAAAUCCCCAAAAUUCUCUUUCCAGGCAGGAAUUCCGUGCUGCUCCCUCCAGUGGGGCUGGCAGAGGGCGCUGUGCCCCCAGCAAUGCCCAGCCUUGCAGCAACCCCAGGAUUUAUUAAACAUUCUCCUGCAUUUCCCUUGUGGGCACUGUCACCGGGCAAUAUUUUCAUUUAUCUGCAGAGAAUCCUCACAGCUCUCUCUGUGUGUUAAUUUAUCCACGUGGGAUCUCUGUUUGCAGUAUUUCUGUAUUUCCAGGGUUAUUUAUAUGGAUAAAUCCCAGAGCUGAGCCUGCUGGAAGUGCUGUGUAGGAUUCUCCAGGGAUUUUGUGGGUCAGCUUGAUUUUGGGGUGGGCUCCUGGCUCUGUGCCCAGCUCCUGCAGCCCCCCUUCACCCACACCCUCCAUUCCUCUGCCAGAUUACCUGCAGACCCCACUCAGCCUUUAAUCCUUUUAUUCAGAGCUGGGCUGAAAUUAAUUUUUGUGCAAAGCCAAUUAAGGGGAGCUGGGCAGCCACGUGCUCGUGGUGUUAACUGCAGCCUGAGCCCUGCCUGUGCUCCACCAUCUCCCCAGCCUGCAAACCACGGGAAUUUGGGCAUUUUUGCCCCUGCCCGCCCUGCUGCAGCUCCCCUGGGCUCUGCUGGAUGGACCUUCUGAGGGUUGGUUUGUGUGCAGCUGGGGUUGUCCCAGCUGAACCCCCCUGGUUUUGUCCUUGCUGGCCCCACAGCUUGUGUUCUGCACCCAGAGCUGCUGGAGGUUAUCAAUUUUCUGCCUGUGAUCAAGGGUCCUGUCAGGAAAAUGGAUCUGGGUGUCAGCCCAGGCUGUGAUUAAAGGGGGACAAAAUCCCAAAUUGCCCUGGCCACGUGACAGGGCUCCUCUUCCAGGUGUUGUUCCAGGGGAAAUUCUGCCUGGACACUUCAUUCCCUUAAUUUGGGGCUUCCCCUCGUAAUUAAAACCCUAAAAUCACCCAUUAAGGAGCUUUUAUCCCCCUGUGUUUAAGCAGGUUUUUCCCCAUGCAGAGGUGGGAAUUCCUUGUGGGGUUAACAAGAAGCCCAGCCCAGCCCAGGGAGCUUUCCUGGGGGACAGCAGUGGAGCAAGGUAGAUUUUAUUUUUGACAUUCCAGGUUGAUACCCUGGAAAUGAAACCCUCUUGAUGCAGAUCCUGUUGCCCAGAGAGCUUGAGAAUUCCCUGGAAGUGCCCAAAGCCAGGCUGGAUGGUGCUGAGCCCCAGCACGGGCUGGCACAGGGCUGGGGUGUCACACAGAGGGCUGGGACAGGGCUGGGGUGUCACACAGAGGGCUGGGGUGGCCCACAGAGGGCUGGGACAGGGCUGGCCUGUCACACAAACGGCUCCUGGCCACCUCCAGCUGCUCUGCCCUGCUUUGUUCCAGCCCCUGUGCAUCCUGCUUCCUCCAAAGGCAGUUGCUAUCGAUUUUUUUCCCUUUUUUUUUCCCCUCCCUUCCCAUUGUUCAGCUUUCUCUUGUUUUUCUCUCCCUUUUGGCUGGCGGGGUUGCCUGGCCACGGCUCCUAAAAUUUGGUUAAAUUCCUUUUUUUUGCUGUGGAGGCCCGUGGGUGUCAUUAACAGAGACACCCCCUGCGCUUCAUUAAUCCACCCCUCGUUAAUCCAAUAAAUUUAAAUAUCCUAACAUUUAAUAGGAAGUGGUGAUGGAUCCUAUAUCAAAAUGCAAAGAACUUAUCCUGAAAAAAAUCCUUCUUUUAAAAACAAUAAAAAUUAGAAGCUGUCAAUUUAAAGUGAGUGAGAAGCAACCCAGAAAUCCAUAGGUAAACAUGGAAUUCCAUGGAUCUGCUGUGACUGAGCAAACAAACCUGGAAAUUAGGGUGACUUUUUUUCCCCAUGAGUUCUUGGCAGGUUUUGAAGGGAUAUUUGACUUUUUUUGAGGUUUUUAGAGGUGAAUGGAAUCCCAUCCAUGCCUGGACACCGCGGUGUCCCCAAGGACACGGUUGAUGCCAUUGAUGCCAUUGGCAAUUGGUGAUGUUCUUGGCAGGUUUUGAAGGAAGAAGAAGAUUGGCAAUGCUCUUGGCAGGUUUUGAAGGAAGAAAGAGAACAUUGGUGAUGUUCUUGGCAGGUUUUGAAGACAUAUUUUGAGGUUUUACAGGUGAAUGGAAUCCUGUCCAUGCCUGGACACCACGGUGUCCCCAAGGACGCGGUCGAUGCCAUUGAUGCCGUUGGCAAUUGGUGAUGUUCUUGGCAGGUUCUUGGCCGGUUUUGAAGGAAUAUUUGACUUUUUUUGAGGUUUUUAGAGGUGAAUGGAAUCCCAUCCAUGCCUGGACACCGCGGUGUCCCCAAGGACACGGUUGAUGCCAUUGAUGCCAUUGGCAGUUGGUGAUGUUCUUGGCAGGUUCUUGGCAGGUUCUUAGCAGGUUUUGAAGGAAUAUUUGACUUUUUUUGAGGUUUUAGAGGUGAAUGGAAUCCUGUCCACCCCUGGACACCGCGGUGUCCCCAAGGACGCGGUCGGCGCCGUCGAUGCCGCGACGCCGCCG